CAAAUUUAAUGCUCCAAAUCUUCAACUCGUACCUUACAAAUUUACUCAUUUUGCCAAAUAGAUAUAAGUUAACAUUAGAUAGCUCUGCUAGUAUGCUUCAUAGAAACACAGUAACAAGUAACACACUAUUACAAUUGUGCAUUGCAUUCUAACCUUCAGAGGAGAUAGUGCAAACAGUGGUAAUAUGCGGUGGCUGGUGAACGGAGGCUUCGGCAGUGGCGGUGCGAGUCGUGCGACAGAGGCAAGGGAUUUCAGUGGUCGCCAGGACAGUGGAGGAGGGAAGAAGAGAGAAAAACUCACAAUAGAAGGGAAAAAGUCCACUCAUUUGGGUAGCAAAUUCAUCUGUUGUGGAAGAGAACCCACCUAAUGUAGGAAAAACACCUACCAAGUCGAAGGAAAGUCCUCCCUAGAGGAGGGAGAGAACCCCCAAAGGGAGGUGGCGGAGGACCCUCUGCUUUUCGCUCCCGCUCUGCUAGGGCACACUCUUGUAGUCUUCCUACAACCAUGGCCAUGUUGAUUGCACUAGCGGAGUCCUGAGCCCAAAUUGAUUUUUAAGACAACAUUGGGUGGCCCAAUAUUUUGAUCUAAGACAGACUCGAGUAUCACCUUAAAUUUAAGUUGAAUCUAACUCAAACUCAAAAGCUUGUAUGGUGAAGAUUGCCAAAGUCUUUAAAAGCUAUUAGCCUUAUAUACCGUCGAUGUGGGAUCUCAACAAGCACACACGUGAGGCAAUUAUACUCGAGCCGUAAACACUGUACAUCUUGGUAGAAUUAGUUCUCUUCAUGAAAUUUUUCUAUACACAAGACAUGAAUAUAAAAUUUUGCUUAAUUAAGGAAAAUAAAACAUGCACCAUGUGCAUCAAGUGGUUUCUAAACGAUGCUGUAAUACUUGUUUUCAUGGGUUAGCCACACAAAAAAUCAUUAAUUUCACAUUUGUGGGACUGAUUGCUUUUAGAAUUCCAAAUAUAGGAUGCCUUGACCAAAUAGAUGAGAAAACUUGUGGGAUGUGUUUCCCUUUACAGUGUGGCUUUGCUAGCAAAGGCACCACCGAAAGAUAGAGACCUCACCUCAUCAACCAUUUGCUUUGUACUAUAAUGGCAAUGCACGCCAUAAAACAUAUUUGCAAAUGCUUAGCCAAACAUAUGACAUGUUGUCAUCUAUUUCUUUGCCAACAAGAUUUAUGGCCUCUAAAGAUCGAUUUAAAACUCAUCCCCAAGUGUAAAGAUUAGCAUUUAACAAAUCCAAAUUAAGAUUGAGACAGCACAACUAAACAUUUCUAUGGUCAUUUUAUCAUCGAAUAUGGAUUGGUUGGAAGUUGGAAUUUAAACCGUGGAAGAUAUAUAAGAAACUUUAAGCUCUUCAUAAUAUGUUUUUGCUAAUCGGGAUUCAGGAUACAUAUUUUCCUUUGUUGUUAACUAGUUAAUUCUACAAAAUAAUCAUGAGCUUGUCACAAUGUUAGUUUUCAACAAUAACUCAGCAUACAAAUUGGUUUGAGGGUCAUCCUAAAUAUGUAAAGUACUUGUAUUAAUCAGAAGAGAUGACAACUCGAUGAAUCAAAGCAUAUAUAAAACAUGCAUGUGCUCUAACUUCAAACAUCUUAUGGUAACAGUACUUUUGAAUAAUCAAUUAAGUUUCUAUAGCCUUCAUUACGCAAUCACUUUUAUCGAUUGAUUUGUUUGCUUUACGUAUUUGCUUUUAGCAGUUUUUUAAUCAGGUGAUUUAUUUGUUCUCAUUAAUCGCUUCAAUUAACACCGCCGACACCUCCAUUAGUGCCAUAUAUCAACUUAGUCACCCGUAAAUUCCCUUCAUUGGACAAUGUCAACCCUGUGAACUAAGAUUGAAGAUUAUUUUAAUUUUUAGUCCGGUAAAAUUGAGGUGAAUUGGAUCUGGUUAAUCUGAAAAAAUUAUAACGUUUACUCCCUAAUAUUAUUGAAAUUGGUAAAAUUAAUCAGUGCCGUACUUUCUUUUUUUACUGUUUUUAUGUAUUAGCGGCGAUUUUAACCACCCAAAUUAUACAUUCUUGGUUUCAGUGACGGAUCCAGAAGUUCGAUGUUGUUAGAACAAUAUAUACAUAUAAAUGCGUAUAAAAAAAUUUAAUAUAUAAGAUUAGAAGUGAGUGCAUUUUUUACCAAUUGGGGCACAAGUGAUAACAUUUUUUUACCAAAGAGGUCAUAAAAAAUCACAUACUUUUACUACUCAAGUGAAGACAUUUAGCAAUGUGGAAUACAAGUGAUGACAUUAUUUUACCAAAAGAGCCAUAAAAAACCACAUACUUUUACUAUUCAAUUUUUUUAAUAAUUUUUUUUUUAAAAUCAAGUGAGGGCAUGUGCCCUCAUGGUGCUACAUGCAUCCGUCACUGCUUGGUUUUAGUGGCAAUUCAACCGCCAUAAAGUGAACUGAGAGACUAAUUUCAACCAUAUCAUUAAUGUUGAGACUAAAAACUAUGGAUUCUUUUUAGGGGAAUCAAAUCAAAUUCACUUUUAUUUUAAGGACAAAAAAUAUAUUUAACCCAUUACUUAGUUUUAUAAAUUAGGAUUAAUUAAUUAUUUACAAUAAGUUUUGGAUUAUUAUAUAUGAAUUAUGAAGUUAUUACUUUAGUACUUGUUCACAGAAAGUCCAGAGGACAUAGCUUAGCUAGUCGAGCGCUUCACUUUGUACAUAUCUUCAAUUAACUUAAGCGCUCCUUAUAUGACAAGAGCCUUAUUAAUUACAGUAAUGGUGGAGGAGGCUAAUACACGAAUGACAUUAUGGUGAGUCAUGCGAUCCCGAGUCAUAAAUUUGGUUCACUGUGAUGAUUAGUCCAUAACAGUCUAAUACUCGACUUAUUGAUAGAAAAAUAAGUGAUUGGUCUUUCUUUUCUCUAUGCCCAUAAGAUGAGAAUAUUCGAAGUUCAUAGCGUCGAAUGUCCUUAUCCAUCCUAACAUGUAUAGAAACACAACAUGGGAGGUACUGCUCUGCUCUCGCACCUUUUCAAAAUCCAAUUUGCAAAUUAUGAAGAGAUAUUCACCAUUUAAUAAAUAUAUAUACUUUAUUGGUGAAAAAGUAUUUCUGAAUAGAUUAAAAGGUGAAAGUUCUUUCUAUGAAUUGACAUUUUCAUUCACGGAAGAAGUUGCUCUCGUCUAGAGCAAAUAAGUUGUUGUCGGCAAUGUGUUGCACUUACUUUAAUACAUAGCCUAUAUCUACAAGUUUCAUCGUCACACAAUAACCUCGACAUGAUUCAUUUUGCUAUAUACAAGUUUGGUCAUCACAUUGUAAUCUAGGUAUUAUUCAUUUUGCUUUUUAUUGCUCUUGUUUACUUAAAUUGUGUUUCUGAUCGAUUCAUGACUUAACAACUAUGAUAACAAUCUCCUCGAGACUCGGAUAUCAUAUUGAGUGAGUAUACAUUUUCUAACAAAUUAUUAUUCAUACAUUCUGCUCAAAGAUUGAACCAUAUACUAAAUGUUUAAGGAGAUCAGAUAUUUAUCAGUUAUGCUAGAUCUUAUUAGUGUAAAACUAGUAAUUUAUACACACAUUAAUUAGUCACGAAGUUUUGAUAUAAGAUCAAUUUUCAUGAUUGAGAUAAGUACUUGAAUCUUAGUCCUUAGAUCAUCGUAUCUAUAAAGAAAAUCACAAGAUUGGGCUAUUGAUGUCAAAAAACUGAUUAGUUUUUUAAGGGUACGUGCAGGUCCAGAACCAAAAAGAAAAGGAAGCUUCUGUAGAACCAUUUAUUCUCACACCAACAACAGCCGUAAGUACAUGUCAACAUUAACUUCUCCUAGUCUUAUCUAUGCCUCACUUUUUUUUGUUAAUUUUUUUUAAGGCGCUGAAUUGAUGUCGGCUACCAUUGAUGUCCGGUCUAAUUAGAUAGGGAAAAUUGCUGAUUUUAAACAACACUUAUGAUAAAUUUACAUUUACAUGACCUAGUUUGGAAGAGUUUAUUUGAGCUUAUCUGAUAGCAUAAGCUUUUAUGCCAGUGUUUGAGAGAACUUAUGCAAACAGCUUAUGACCUACCAUAAGCUGUUUUGAGCUUAUUUUCAUAAGUUAUUCAGGAUAGCUUAUGAAAAACAGUUUAUGCUUAUAUAUAAUUUAUUUUCAAUUUAUUUCAGUAAAAUUUUUAAAAUGGCUUGUGAAUAAGCACUUAUGUCAUUUUUCCUACGCGCUUAAUUAAGUUGUUUUCCUAAACGGGGUCAAUCCUAAGAUGACGAUUGAAGGUUCAAACUUCAAACUGAGUAAUGAUUCAUUUACACUUUAUUUUUUCUUCAAUAUUAUUUUCAUAUUUUUCUUUCUAUUUUUUUUUCUUUAUUUCCUAUAACAUCAUAUAUCAUAUCAAUCAUUUUUUUACAGCCAAGGCAUUUAUUCUGCUUCGGGAGCCUACUCUUGGCUCAUUAACGCGAAUGCACAGCUGUCUCUCACUGGUUUGGAUACUUGGCGCUGGAUUUGGAAGAUUAAGGUUCCGGAGAAAAUUCGUGUCUUCAUUUGGUUGUGUAUGCACGAUGCAAUUCAGGUUAACAACUUGAGGUUUCGUUGCAAGCUUGCUUCCUCACCCUCGUGCUCGCGGUGUCAACAUUCUAUGGAGGAUAUUUUACAUUGUUUGCGGGACUGCAGGUUUGCUAGGGAAAUUUGGAAUAGAUUGAAUGCUCUCACGUGGCCUCGGUUUCUAGUUGGGAGUGUCCAGGCUUGGAUCAAAUACCAGGUGUGUGGUCCUCAUGGUUCCUUGUUUGCUACAGCUCUUUGGGGAAUUUGGCGGUGGCGUAACAAUGCAAUCUUGGGUGAUAAGUCUUGGAACGCUAUUAGUACUGUGAAUUGGAUUUCUACAGAGCAUCAUGACUAUUCCUCCUUUCUUUCUAGUGAUCUGUCCAUGACAUUGGGCAUGGGUGGAGGUGCGUUUUGGAGAGCUCCUCCCGCAGGUGAAUUCAAGCUCAACACUGAUGGUGCCUUUGACUUGACCGGAGCCAGGAUGGGUAUGGGGGNNNNNNNNNNNNNNNNNNNNNNNNNNNNNNNNNNNNNNNNNNNNNNNNNNNNNNNNNNNNNNNNNNNNNNNNNNNNNNNNNNNNNNNNNNNNNNNNNNNNNNNNNNNNNNNNNNNNNNNNNNNNNNNNNNNNNNNNGGGACUUGUUAGCCUUGUAGUUUCUUUCUGUCGUAAUCAAGUGAGGGCAUGUGCCCUCAUGGUGCUACAUGCAUCCGUCACUGCUUGGUUUUAGUGGCAAUUCAACCGCCAUAAAGUGAACUGAGAGACUAAUUUCAACCAUAUCAUUAAUGUUGAGACUAAAAACUAUGGAUUCUUUUUAGGGGAAUCAAAUCAAAUUCACUUUUAUUUUAAGGACAAAAAAUAUAUUUAACCCAUUACUUAGUUUUAUAAAUUAGGAUUAAUUAAUUAUUUACAAUAAGUUUUGGAUUAUUAUAUAUGAAUUAUGAAGUUAUUACUUUAGUACUUGUUCACAGAAAGUCCAGAGGACAUAGCUUAGCUAGUCGAGCGCUUCACUUUGUACAUAUCUUCAAUUAACUUAAGCGCUCCUUAUAUGACAAGAGCCUUAUUAAUUACAGUAAUGGUGGAGGAGGCUAAUACACGAAUGACAUUAUGGUGAGUCAUGCGAUCCCGAGUCAUAAAUUUGGUUCACUGUGAUGAUUAGUCCAUAACAGUCUAAUACUCGACUUAUUGAUAGAAAAAUAAGUGAUUGGUCUUUCUUUUCUCUAUGCCCAUAAGAUGAGAAUAUUCGAAGUUCAUAGCGUCGAAUGUCCUUAUCCAUCCUAACAUGUAUAGAAACACAACAUGGGAGGUACUGCUCUGCUCUCGCACCUUUUCAAAAUCCAAUUUGCAAAUUAUGAAGAGAUAUUCACCAUUUAAUAAAUAUAUAUACUUUAUUGGUGAAAAAGUAUUUCUGAAUAGAUUAAAAGGUGAAAGUUCUUUCUAUGAAUUGACAUUUUCAUUCACGGAAGAAGUUGCUCUCGUCUAGAGCAAAUAAGUUGUUGUCGGCAAUGUGUUGCACUUACUUUAAUACAUAGCCUAUAUCUACAAGUUUCAUCGUCACACAAUAACCUCGACAUGAUUCAUUUUGCUAUAUACAAGUUUGGUCAUCACAUUGUAAUCUAGGUAUUAUUCAUUUUGCUUUUUAUUGCUCUUGUUUACUUAAAUUGUGUUUCUGAUCGAUUCAUGACUUAACAACUAUGAUAACAAUCUCCUCGAGACUCGGAUAUCAUAUUGAGUGAGUAUACAUUUUCUAACAAAUUAUUAUUCAUACAUUCUGCUCAAAGAUUGAACCAUAUACUAAAUGUUUAAGGAGAUCAGAUAUUUAUCAGUUAUGCUAGAUCUUAUUAGUGUAAAACUAGUAAUUUAUACACACAUUAAUUAGUCACGAAGUUUUGAUAUAAGAUCAAUUUUCAUGAUUGAGAUAAGUACUUGAAUCUUAGUCCUUAGAUCAUCGUAUCUAUAAAGAAAAUCACAAGAUUGGGCUAUUGAUGUCAAAAAACUGAUUAGUUUUUUAAGGGUACGUGCAGGUCCAGAACCAAAAAGAAAAGGAAGCUUCUGUAGAACCAUUUAUUCUCACACCAACAACAGCCGUAAGUACAUGUCAACAUUAACUUCUCCUAGUCUUAUCUAUGCCUCACUUUUUUUUGUUAAUUUUUUUUAAGGCGCUGAAUUGAUGUCGGCUACCAUUGAUGUCCGGUCUAAUUAGAUAGGGAAAAUUGCUGAUUUUAAACAACACUUAUGAUAAAUUUACAUUUACAUGACCUAGUUUGGAAGAGUUUAUUUGAGCUUAUCUGAUAGCAUAAGCUUUUAUGCCAGUGUUUGAGAGAACUUAUGCAAACAGCUUAUGACCUACCAUAAGCUGUUUUUCUACUGUCCUAUAGAGUAUCUUGAGGCUCCGCCUCAGCAGUUAGCUCCCAUCUUGGCUAGGGACUUGUUAGCCUUGUAGUUUCUUUCUGUCGUUUUUUAAUUUUCCGAUGUACCAAAAAAAAAAAAUAUCAAUCAUUUUUUUAUUCUCUUCCUAUUUACUCAAGGUGAUGAUGAAUAACAUAUGUAAACCAAACAUUAUUCAGUUCAAACCUAAAAUUUGUGCGAUAUGAGAUUCUAUCGUAUUCUACUCAAUUAAUCCUCUUAAGUUUUCCAUGCCUCACUUUGAUGAACGUACGGGAGCGAGUAAAAGUUCCUAUUCUUUUCACUUUUCAAGUAGUAAACAAACUGAAGAUCGACCAAAUGAAACACAAGCUUUGAAGUGAGAAAGUGAAGAAAGAAAAGGCAACCUAUGAUUGAAGAAUCUUCAUGUCUUCAUAUUAUGAGAUGAGAGAGAAAACACUUGACUCUUGCUUCACGACCAUGUCUUUCCUGCACAUGUAUAUACUUCUGGCCUACGCGCGUGAUUGGGUACGUAGCUAGGACCCUAUAGUACUGUUCAUCCUUCAUUCAUUAGCUAGCUAGCUCAUAAAUUUUCAAGAGAAGCUAGGCAAACCCAUAGUAUGGCUUUAUCAUAAAUAAAUAAAUACUCACAUACUGUAUAUAUCUUCCUUAAAUCUUUGGUGACUCCAGGAUUCAAUUAUAUAACAGUAGUAGUACUCUCCUCAUGUAAUUAAGAAUUAGCUACUUGUUGUGAUCAAUCCUUAUCCUUGAGCAAGCUAGCUUCACAACUCUACUAACAUCAAUCUUCAAUGAUUGUAAGAUUAAUUAUUAGGACCAAAGAAGCCUAUACAAGCUUCAGCUUUCAGUUCUUUCAAGUUUCAACAAUAACCCCAUAUCAGUUUUGGAGCAUACAACAAAUUAAAUAGACUUGGCAGAGUGAAAACAACAGUAUCCCACCCCACGCGUCUUCACUUGCGUCUGGGAAAAAUACUUAAUUAUCCAUCAUACACAAUCUUCACUUGUAUUUAAACACCAAUUCCCUUGCACCUAAAUUUCUAUCUCAAUACCACUAUCCCCAACACAACACAACACAAGCAGUUCUACUAAGCAGGCACUUAUAAUUCCUUGCUAAGUAAACCAACCAAAACCACAUGAAGAACAUCCCUUUGCUUCUCCUCCUCCUCACUCUCCUAGCCACGGCAGAAGCCGGCGGCGGAAAGUGGCAGCUCCUCCAACAAACCAUCGGCAUUGUCGGCAUGCACAUGCAGCUACUCCACAAUGACCGUGUCAUCAUCUUUGACCGCACCGACUUCGGUUUCUCCAACCUCUCCUUACCCAAAGGUAUGUGCCGCCACAACCUGCAAGAACUUGCGGUCAAN
rnacentral:lncRNA from 1 species